rnacentral:lncRNA from 1 species
UCUGGAAAUGUCACCGGGUACGGAUAUUCGAAAUUUUAUCUAAAUUCAAGUCCGAAUAGAGCGGAUAUAUUCAAUACUAAAUGAGUACGGAUUCGAAUAUAGAUAUCAAAAAUAAAAAUUCGACAGAUAUAAAUUUGGAUAUGAAUGUUGACCGUACCCAUAUCCGAAUCUGAAUCCGAUCCGAAUCCGAAUUUAUUUUGCAUUAUAUAUAAUAUAUAUAAUUAAAUUUGAUAUUAUAUUUAAAUUUGUAUUUUAAAACUUUACAUUUAAUAUAAUAUAUUUUGAAAUAUUGAAAAAAUAAUAAUUAUUUCGGGUUCGAAUUUUCGGGUUCGGAUUCGGAUUCAGAUUUCGGAUUUUUGGUUGGGUUCGGAUUUGGAUAUGAAUUUUUAAAAUCCGUCGGGUUCGGAUUCGGAUCUCAAGUUUGGAGUUAGGUUCGGAUUUUUUAAAAUCCGCCCCGAAUCCCGCCAGUUGACAUCUCUAGCUUGUCCGUC